GGGGGUGUAGCUCAGUGAUAGACCAUAUGCUUAGCGUGAGCAAGGUCCUGGGUUCAAUUCCCAGUAUCCCCA
rnacentral:tRNA from 1 species